rnacentral:tRNA from 1 species
GCUUCGAUAGCUCAGUAGGUAGAGCAGGGGACUGAAAAUCCCCGUGUCAUUGGUUCGAUUCCAGUUCGGAGCA